rnacentral:rRNA from 1 species
UGGGGAAUAUUGGGCAAUGGGCGCAAGCCUGACCCAGCAACGCCGCGUGAAGGAAGAAGGCUUUCGGGUUGUAAACUUCUUUUGUCAGGGAAGAGUGGAAGACGGUACCUGGCGAAUAAGCCACGGCUAACUACGUGCCAGCAGCCGCGGUAAUACGUAGGGGGCAAGCGUUAUCCGGAUUUACUGGGUGUAAAGGGAGCGUAGACGGUCACGCAAGUCUGAUGUGAAAACCCAGGGCUUAACCUUGGGCCUGCAUUGGAAACUGUGAGACUAGAGUGCAGGAGAGGUAAGUGGAAUUCCUAGUGUAGCGGUGAAAUGCGUAGAUAUUAGGAGGAACACCAGUGGCGAAGGCGGCUUACUGGACUGUAACUGACGUUGAGGCUCGAAAGCGUGGGGAGCAAACAGGAUUAGAUACCCUGGUAGU